rnacentral:lncRNA from 1 species
UGAGGAAUCCUGUCUGUCGUCCCUGACGCGUGACUGACAUUUACAGCUUUGACUGUGAUAUAUCAUGGUAAUAUGUUUAUCUAAAAGCAGAGAGAUUUUGUGGCAUUUCAGAGAGCGAAUAAGCGGAAUGGAAAAAUAGGUCAGAUGACUCUGGCAAGAUAUAGCCUAGAAUAGAUGCUAUUAUACCAUGCCUGAUGCAUGAUUGUUGCAGCCUCUUCAAUUGAAUGAACAAUGACAAAAGUUACAAAGACAACUACAAUCCUACAGCAUCGAAAGUGUUAAUGUGAAGUGCUUUCAGACUUCAUUGGUGCUGAAUUUUUGAGUAUAUUAUCACCAGAAUGUCAUACAAAAUAACUUGGGCAGAAAACAGAUACCUUUGGACAAUGGUUACACCAAGGGCAGUGAAUGCAUUUCUCUUUUCACCAUUGGUCAGCUGACUUGCCUUCCCAGUUGCAAUGAAGAAGAAUGAUUAGUCAAAAGUAUUAAAAGGAAACAAGCAACAGUUAUGGUUCGUUUGGUUGGAGCCCUUUGUCAACAAAGGGAGAGAGGACCAAGUCAAACGUAUCCGAAAGGUACGGGGUUACAAGAUGGAAGCUUAGCCACGGUUUAUUGUCAAACAAAUAGACACGGCUGUCGGAGCCCUUUGUGCGCAGGGCAUUUGACGAACCGGGCACUCAAAUGACGCUAAAGACUUUUCACUUUGCUGAUGUGGCACCGAUGAACAUCACAGAGGAACUUUCUGGAUUAAGGAAAUCAUUAACGCCCUAAAGGCCUUUAGUACACCUGUUAUCUCCACCCAGCUUCUAAUUGUUGACGACCCGGAAUAUGCGCGACAAGUUAAAGGAAGGAUCGAAAACAAUUUUCGGAGAAAUAAAUUAAACAAUUUUUCGUUAUUAAUAUUUUUCAAUUGUCUUUUUAGGUGACGGGAUAUUUCGAUGAAGUAUAACUGCCUGAUGAUGUUUAAUGUCGAUUAAAUUAGACAUUAACCGAAUCCGCUUGCUAAAACUCGAGGUGGCUGCAAAUUCUAUCCAGUAGAGCCUCUGUAUACAUGUAAACUGGAAAUAAAGCCUGCUUUCAUCGAAGUCAUUAGUGAAACAAUACAAAUUGUAAAGCUGUGCUCCAUCUGCAAAAUCGUCAAUGUAUAUGUGAGGCAGUACCUCAAAGAACAAUUGCCUAGGGACUUCAUACAGGGUUUGCCAACUGCUAGCCGAGCUGUCAUGAACAUCGACGAUACAAGGAAACCGCAUAGAUAGUGUGUUUAUCUGUUAACUGCUUCAAAUUGGCUCAGAAUUAGGCAGCAAUUUUGGAAGUUGUUGCUUUCUCAGUAUGAAUGAGCUUCAAUGUUGGUGUUGCAGGUGUUACCCAUGUUACGUUGACUGUUUGGAUUCCUAUUCAUUAACAUUUCAAAACCAAAUUCAUCUUCUUAAAAUUGACUUGAAAGGAUUUGGAUCAUUCUAGGAACAUAUAUAUCAAAGAUGCAAAGCUCUAAUGGGAUUAAUUUAUCCGUCAAGUACGUUUUCAUUUGCAGUCUGUAUGUCCUUUCCGAAGGCUCUGCCAGAAGAAUAUGCUAAAUAAUGAAUUUAUGAAUCGCGUAAGUUACACGAGCAAGAAUUUUUAUGCCUAACGAUGUU